GCCUCUGUAGCUCAGUAGUAGAGCGCGUCCUUGGUAAGAGCCUUUUCUUUCAAAAGAAAAGCCUCGGGAAAAGAAAUUAAAAAGCCCAAAAAGGACGAGGCCGCGAGUGCAACUCUCGCCGGAGGCU
rnacentral:tRNA from 1 species